GACUCUCGGCAACGGAUAUCUCGGCUCUCGCAUCGAUGAAGAACGUAGCGAAAUGCGAUACCUGGUGUGAAUUGCAGAAUCCCGCGAACCAUCGAGUCUUUGAACGCAAGUUGCACCCGAGGCCACUCGGCCGAGGGCACGCCUGCCUGGGCGUCA
rnacentral:rRNA from 1 species